rfam:Glossina austeni unplaced genomic scaffold Scaffold13, whole genome shotgun sequence.
AGGUCCCACCAUCGGUAGCGUGCUAAUGACAACCAGCCUCCGCGAAGUAAUACCUAACGGUGGCCCCGCGGAGGAGGAUGGUAGCAGAAGUGUGUGGGGGGAUAGUUUUUAGUACGUAAGCGCCAUGGAUGGCGCAACGUGCAUGCUGCUACUAAGAACUAGCAGUAGCUUCCGAAGAUUUUCUACCUCCUGCUC